rnacentral:misc_RNA from 1 species
GAUGAAGAACGUAGCGAAAUGCGAUAAGUAAUGUGAAUUGCAGAAUUCAGUGAAUCAUCGAAUCUUUGAACGCACAUUGCGCCCGCCAGUAUUCUGGCGGGCAUGCCUGUUCGAGCGUCAUUACAACCCUCAGGCCCCCGGGCCUGGCGUUGGGGAUCGGCGGAGCCCCCCGUGGGCACAACGCCGUCCCCCAAAUACAGUGGCGGUCCCGCCGCAGCUUCCAUUGCGUAGUAGCUAACACCUCGCAACUGGAGAGCGGCGCGGCCACGCCGUAAAACACCCAACUUCUGAAUGUUGACCUCGAAUCAGGUAGGAAUACCCGCUGAACUUAAGCAUAUCAAUAAGCGGAGGA